rnacentral:rRNA from 1 species
UACGAAGGGGGCUAGCGUUGUUCGGAUUUACUGGGCGUAAAGGGCGCUUAGGCGGAUUUUUAAGUCGGGGGUGAAAUCCCGGAGCUCAACUCCGGAACUGCCUUCGAUACUGAAAGUCUGGAGCACGGUAGAGGUGAGUGGAAUUCCGAGUGUAGAGGUGAAAUUCGUAGAUAUUCGGAGGAACACCAGUGGCGAAGGUGGCUCACUGGACCGUUGCUGACGCUGAGGCGCGAAAGCUUGGGGAGCAAACAGG